GGUGAAGGCUAUUCCUGGAGAGCAAAAUAACACAUAGGAUGUCAGUCAUGUUUCCAUGUCCGUUUAUUAUUUAGCAUAGAGGGUAAUGUAAUGAAGUGUUGGAAUGACCUACUUUUAAAAAGCUUUUUUCUUUCUCCUAAUCUAGACAUUUGCUACCACAAUGUAUACAUGAAGUAGUAGUGUGUACCAUGCCAGGUAUUCUUUAAAUGUUGGUCAAAUUUUGUUUUAGGAUUAUACCCUUAUCCUGCCUUGCAG